rfam:Salmo salar isolate Sally breed double haploid chromosome ssa01, whole genome shotgun sequence.
ACACUGGCUUUACUCAAAGCCACUGGCAUGUCGUUAGUAAAGAUUG